CGUACACUCCUACGCGAGGCAGCAGUAGGGAAUCUUCGGCAAUGGGGGCAACCCUGACCGAGCAACGCCGCGUGAGUGAAGAAGGUUUUCGGAUCGUAAAGCUCUGUUGUAAGUCAAGAACGAGUGUGAGAGUGGAAAGUUCACACUGUGACGGUAGCUUACCAGAAAGGGACGGCUAACUACGUGCCAGCAGCCGCGGUAAUACGUAGGUCCCGAGCGUUGUCCGGAUUUAUUGGGCGUAAAGCGAGCGCAGGCGGUUUGAUAAGUCUGAAGUUAAAGGCUGUGGCUCAACCAUAGUUCGCUUUGGAAACUGUCAAACUUGAGUGCAGAAGGGGAGAGUGGAAUUCCAUGUGUAGCGGUGAAAUGCGUAGAUAUAUGGAGGAACACCGGUGGCGAAAGCGGCUCUCUGGUCUGUAACUGACGCUGAGGCUCGAAAGCGUGGGGAGCGAACAGGAUUAGAAACCCGAGUAGUCCC
rnacentral:rRNA from 1 species